rnacentral:lncRNA from 1 species
GAAGCCGGUCCUGGCUUCCUUGUCUAAAAGCUCUUUGGGACUGAAAUGGCUGUUUAUGAAUCCUUGUCAACCUCGUUCGCAGUCAACGACCAGGGAAUAAAUUAUUCGUGGAAUGACACAGUUCAUAAUUAUUAUAAGAUAAGGAAAUGGAGGUCCUGGAGGUUACAUGACUAGCCCAACAAGUAUGACAACUCCGAUAUCGGCUUGCGGUUCACUCAUUCAGUUUGCUGAUUCAGAGAUCUGUGCAUUCACUCACCUGUUCCUUCUCCAGCAAGGCCUCCCCACCCUACCACCUCCUCCUUUCUUAGUUUGGCUGUCUGUGACUCACUCAACACACAUCCCCAGACCUUUCUGGAACUCCAGGUUGGGCAGAUUGGCCUCCACAGCAACCUGUGGAUCUCUGAACACUGGGGCAAGGGCCUGGUCUCAAGCAGCUUCGUAUUCUGAGAUCAGUUUUUACUGAGUAUUGGACCAGCCAGGAUACUAACUAGUAUUUAUUCAGCACCUACUAUGUUGAGUAUAAAUAGCAUAGUAAAAGUAGGAAACACACAAUAAUACCUCAACAGAAAAAUGAGUAAACCAGCGAGGUGUCACGCCUGUAGUCCCAGGUUCUUGGGAAGCUGAGGCCGGCUAAGUUCAAGGAGGAUCGCUUGAGCAGGAGUUCCAGGCUGCAGCGCGCUAUGAUCGCGCCUGCGAACAGCCAUUGCACUCCAGCCUGGGCAACAGAGCGCGACUGUGUCUCUAAAAAACAACGCAAAACAAAAAACACGGCAGAACUUAAGCAUUUUGCUGCACUGCCCAGUGAAAUCCAUUCCAUUUGACAAAUACUGCCCUCUUAACAUUCUUAGAAUUUUUUUUUGGAGCAAGUGUUAGCGUCCCUGUUUUCAAGGAGGUGGUCAAGUAUGCACAGACAUCAGUAGUGACGUUUGCUGGAGACUUCCUUUAGACAAAAAUGAACUUAGGGACAGCACUUAAGUUAGAGGCCAAGUCUUUGGCCAAAGUAGCCUGCCAUCCUACUCCAGAGAACUGCUGUGGUUAAAAGAGGAAAAACUGUAUUCUGCGAUCAAGUAAGGCUCUAAACCCAGUAUUAGGAAAGAACAGUAGCCUUUUGUAUUAGAAAGAACACUGGCGUGGAAGUCAAAAGUUCUGGAUUCUAGUGCCAGCUAGAAUCUACCACGAUCGUGGUAGGCAAGCUGCUCCAAAACCCAGUUUCUGGUAAAUGAGAGUGAUGAUUACUAACUCACCUCACUGACUGUUGGGAAAAGCUAAGCUAUCCUAAUGUACACAUUUUACCAGAUGCUACUUCAUUAUUAAUUAUUAAUGAUCUCAAAACACCAGUUGUGGCCAAGCACAGUGGGUCACACCUGUAAUCCCAGCACGUUGGGAGGCUGAGGCGGUAGAAUCACGUGAGUCCAGGAGUUUGAGACCAGCCUGGGCAACAUAGGGAGGCCCCGUCUCUUAAAAAAAAAUUAAAAAUUAGCUGGGCAUGGUGGCACACACCUAUAAUUCCAGCUACUUGAGAGGCUGAGAUAGGAGAAUCACUGGAACCCAGAAGGUCAAGGCUGCAAUGAGCCAUCACUGUGCUACUCUACUCCAGCCUGGGCAACACAGCAAGACCCUGUGUCAAAAACCAGCACCAAAAAAGAACAUAAGUUGUUCCACAGGGCUGGUUCUUCGACACAUAGACACAAACUGCGAUUCUGUGAAGUGUUGCUUUAUAAUAUUGGGUUAAGGAGAAGGUCAAGGCUGCAGUGAGCCAUCACUGUGCCACUCUACUCCAGCCUGGGCAACACAGCAAGACCCUGUGUCAAAAACCAGCACCAAAAAAGAACAUAAGUUGUUCCACAGGGCUGGUUCUUCGACGCAUAGACACAAACUGCGAUUCUGUGAAGUGUUGCUUUAUAAUAUUGGGUUAAGGAUGAUCUUGUCAAAAUACAGUACCCUGAAAACAACAUAUUAGGAGAGCCAGAAGUUUCCAAAGAAAGAAAGCACACCAAAGCUCUAGAGAAUUUUGAAAGUAAAAAACUUGUUUGGGGAGAAAAAAAACAAAAACAGAAAAAAGCAUUACUUAAAUCUUUAUACACAGAAACAGAAUAACCACUAGGGUAAACAAAGCAGCUAUGGCUUUAUUUCCCUCUACCUUCGUAACUUUGACAUUCUGCCUUACAGUCUAUUUUCACACAGUUUCUGUUGUUAAUGGGAGCUGAGGAACAAGGUACUGACACCUUCUUAUGGUUCAUCAAAAGAACCUUUGACUCUGAAAGGAUCUUGGAUAGGAUCAUCUCUCCAAACUUCCUAUUCAUGGAUCUUCUGACAUUCAGUUAGCCAGCCUCUUUUCUAACACUCUCUAUUAAAGUUAAGUCACUAGCCUGUGAUCCCAGCACUUUGGGAGGCCAAGGCCGGUGGAUCACCUGAGGUCAGGAGUUCCAGACCAGCCUGGCCAUCAUGGUGAAAUCCUGUCUCUAGUGAAAAUACAAAAAUUAGCCAGGUGUGGUGGUGCACACCUGUAAUCCCAGCUACUUGGGAGGCUGAGGUGGGAGGAUCCUCUGAUCUGGGGAGGCAGAGGUGACAGUGAGCUGAGAUCACACCACUGCACUCCAGCCUGUGCGACAGAGGGAGACUCCGUCUCAAUGAAUAAAUAAAUAAAUAGCCGGGCGUGGUGGCUCACGCCUGUAAUCUCAGCACUUUGGGAGGCUGAGGCAGGUGGAUCACUUGAGGUCAGGAGCUUGAAACCAGCCUGGCCAACGUGGUGAGACCCUGUCUCUACUAAAAAUACAAAAAAUUAGCCAGGUGUGUUGGUGUGCUCCCGUAAUGCCAGCUACUUGGGAGGCUAAAGUGGGAGAAUCACUUAAACCCGGGAGGUGAAGGAUGCAGUGAGCCAAGAUAGCACCACUGCACUUUAGCCUGGGCGACAAGAGCAAGACUCCAUCUCAAAAAUAAUAAAUAAAUAAAUAAAUAAAUAAAUAAAGUUAAG